ensembl:lncRNA
UCAACCAUGAGAGACCAUAACAUCACAGUCCAAACAGAGUACAUACCAUCAUGAUUUGUUGAGCCACACCCAUCAUCCUCAGGCUGCCGUUUCAGCUCCAUCUCUGUCAGUGGUGUAGCUGUUAGGAUAACAGAACAAGUAUAUUUCAGUGUAAAACAGUCUUGUAUUAGCUGAAGUACAGAAUCAUUGUGAUAGCUACGAGUGUUCCAGGUUGAAUGAACAGUUCAGUGUAAAACUGUCUUGUAUUAGCUGAAGUACAGAAUCAUUGUGAUAGCUACGAGUGUUCCAGGUUGACUGAACAGUUCAGUCUGCUACAUCCUUCUCAAACAGUUCAUGGUUAUGAUAUUUCAGUUCAGUGUGGAACAGUCUUGUAUUAGCUGAAGUACAGAAUCAUUGUGAUAGCUACGAGUGUUCCAGGUUGACUGAGCAGUUCAGUCUGCUACAUCCUUCUCAAACAGUUCAUGUAUAUGAGGUUUCAUUAUAUAAUAUAAGAUAUUAAAACCAAAUAUUGAGUUUUACCUUCAGUCAUGGUUCUGUCCCUCUUUGCCAAUUUUUUGUCAAAUGUCACCAGCUCUUUCAGGUCCUCUGCCUGCGUUGAACCAGCUCUUUCAGCUCCUCUGCCUGCGUUGAACCAGCUCUUUCAGGUCCUCUGCCUGCGUUGAACCAGCUCUUUCAGGUCCCCUGCCUGCGUUGAACCAGCUCUUUCAGCUCCUCUGCCUGCGUUGAACCAGCUCUUUCAGCUCCUCUGCCUGCAUUGAACCAGCUCUUUCAGCUCCCUCUGCCUGCCUUGAACCAGCUCUUUCAGGUCCCCUGCCUGCGUUGAACCAGCUCUUUCAGGUCCCCUGCCUGCGUUGAACCAGCUCUUUCAGGUCCUCUGCCUGUGUUGAACCAGCUCUUUCAGGUCCUCUGCCUGCGUUGAACCAGCUCUUUCAGCUCCUCUGCCUGCGUUGAACCAGCAGUCUGAGUACUGAAGUUUUCUCACAAACAAAGAAAGGAAUAUCCUGUGCAUCUGGCAGAAUGGAGGGGAGGUUCCUGCUUCCCUGGAUUGUCUACAGUUCUGACAAACAUGGCCUGUGUCCCAAACGGUACCUUAUUCCCUUUAUAGUCUGCUACUGUAGAGCAGGGCCCUAGUGCACUAUAUAGGAAACAGAGUGCCAUUUGGGAUGAACACGUGGACUGUUUCUCGAAACUUCCCCUACCCUCUGCAUCCCCUAGCUCCAAUCCCCCAGGGACUGGAGUAGAUCUGAAAGGCUUGGGUAGGUAUCAGCAGUAUGGUGGAUGUUCCACCUAACCUAUCAGAAGGCAAGGUAGAGUCACUACCAUGUUGCUUAUACCUGUCCAACUCCUCCAGAUCUACAGGAAGUAUGUAGGCUGAAGUAAUGAGGCUAGGGGUUGGUUGUAAGGACCAGGCUAGAGAUCAGGCUAGGGGUUGGUUGUAAGGGGCCAGGCUCUAGGGACCAGGCUAAGGGGCCAUGCCAAGGCAAGGCUAAGGGAGUGGAGACCCAAGAGGGUGGGUAGUGAUAAUGUAGGCCAAGUUCUGAAGAAUGAAUGACAGAUUUUAAUACAUAUAGAGUUGAUUCAACCACGUACAACAAUGCAUAUAGCUGUAGGAUCUUAAUUUAAUCACUGUUUUGUUGCUGAGAAUUUUCCUGCUUUGUGAUUAACAUAAAUGAACUGAAAACCCACACUAACAUGUGAUCAUAUUAACACUAUUUUACAGUACUGCAGUACUUUAGUCCAGCUAAUAGCCUAACCACCGAUCAAGCAACAUUAUCGACAAGGGGAUGGUCAUCUGAAUGUGGUUAGGAGACUCAACAUUGAUGAGAAGAGGUCAUCUGAAUGUGGUUAGGAGACUCAACAUUGAUGAGAAGAGGUCAUCUGAAUGUGGUUAGGAGACUCAACAUUGAUGAGAAGAGGUCAUCUGAAUGUGGUUAGGAGACUCAACAUUGAUGAGAAGAGGUCAUCUGAAUGUGGUUAGGAGACUCAACAUUGAUGAGAAGAGGUCAUCUGAAUGUGGUUAGGAGACUCAACAUUGAUGAGAAGAGGUGAACUGAACAUGGUUAGGAGACUCAACAUUGAUGAGAAGAGGUGAACUGAACAUGGUUAGGAGACUCAACAUUGAUGAGAAGAGGUGAACUGAACAUGGUUAGGAGACUCAACAUUGAUGAGAAGAGGUGAACUGAACAUGGUUAGGAGACUCAACAUUGAUGAGAAGAGGUGAACUGAACAUGGUUAGGAGACUCAACAUUGAUGAGAAGAGGUCAUCUGAACAUGGUUAGGAGACUCAACAUUAAUGCCAUAGUCACUGAGGAUAAUAAAUCAAUAUUAGACUUCACUGCAAACGUUUAGAAGAAUUGAUACUAAUAUGACUCUUGCCUGAUUUAAUUCAAAUCAAUUAUUCAGCUCCAUUCCUGAUGGCAAUUCUGUUGAUGAGGAAUUCAAUAAUGUUUGCUGCGAAGAUUUGACCACAAAGGAGAUCAGAUUUGAUAUCAUACAGUUAAAAAAUACCACAUCCCCUGGUACUGAUGGGCAAACCUCUAAUUCUUACUUGCCACAUUUAAGAAAGCCAUCGAAAAACGAGAGCUUCCAGCGUCAUUAAAAUAAGGUGUUAUAACUCUUAUCCCUAAAACACAUGAGGAUACAUUCUUUCUUGAUACUUGAAGCCCAAUUACACUCAAAAACAAAGAUAAUAUACUAGCUUCCAUUCUAGCAAAAUGCAAGAUAUCUGGAUUUUUGAAAGAGCGUCAAACUUGAUGGAAUAUAACGAUUAAUUAGAUGACAACCCUGUAAUUCUAUUAUUGGAUUUCAAAAAUGCAUUUGAUACUGUUAGUCAUCAUGAGUACAUUUUUUAAACAUUGGGACGCAGGCCAUUUUUUAAACAAAGACCAGACAUACGCUCUACAGUGAAUUUUAAGACCACACAUACGCUCUACAGUGAACUCUAAAAGACCACACAUACGCUCUACAGUGAACUCUAAAAGACCACACAUACGCUCUA